AACCUGUCCUUUUAUGCUCAUAGAUUUUCCCUAUUCCCAUCUCUAUAACUUUAUACCAUCACAUGGAUAUAGCUAAUAUACAAAAGGAGCAUAACUCAGUUAACAUACGAGCAUGUCAAUGAUUGUGAGGUAUGUACUAAAAAAGGAAUUAAUAGCUAAUAUAUUCUAUAAAUAAUUUCAUCAUAAAAUUCUAUCUAGUCGAUCGUCUUCGUGAACAAAACACCACAAACAUAUAUGGCAAUGAGUUGUACCAUCGUCACCUUGGAGAAAAUUGAGGUUUACACUAAAGACGUGUCGAUCAAGAUCGCUCCUCCAUUUGACUUCAUGGAUAUUAUUCCCCUUGAAGCAGUUGGGCGGUAUAAAGAAUGUAUCUUGUUGUUAUGCAGUUGGAUUUACAAUUUUGGUGGUCUUGCUGUGAUGAAGCAGGUUACCUAAAUUUCAAGAGAACUACCUAUUUUCUUUCCUCACAAACAACUGCUAACAUUGUAUCUUUCUGUCAGUAGGUGUAGAAAUUUGUAGAAAUUUACAAAGAAAAGCAACCACUCCACGAUCUAUCUUAUUUCUUUAUAGGCAAAAGUGAACAACUUGAAUCCUCACUCUGUUUUAUACCUUGCCUAAUUCAAUGCACAUCCAACCUCCAACCAAACAAAGUCAAAGAGUUCUAAAACAUGAAACAAAAUUUUCAGAACCAACCUCAAGCAUAAUUUUAUAGAUACUGGACCAGGUCCUUACCAAGUUGCCCCACCUAUGUGUGAUCCAAUGCAACAUGGUCAGACUCAGCCAUACCCUCCAAUUGUACCUCCUCAAGGGGAAACUAAAUCUGAAACUGUACCUCCGUCAAUGAAAACUAAGUUUAGAGGUGAUGGGUUUUGCAGAGGAUUGUAAGUUCCCUCUCUCUUUCUCCCCCCCCCUCCCCCCUCCCCAAAUUAUGCUAUGAUUUGAAUUUUCUCUGUGUGAAUAGUUGUGCUGGCUUGUGUUGCUACUGCUGCCUAGAUAUCUGCUUCUAGGGAUGGAGGGACCUUGGGAACGGCAUUAUGCCUCUGCACUGCUAGUUUCUCUGACACAAGUUAUCUUCUAGGUUCCCAUAAACAUGCAGAUGUUUCUCUGUAAACUACAGUUACCAUCUGAGUUCAGGUUCUGUAUGUGAAAUUUUAUAUUCCCUAUGUUGUUUUCUAUAGUAUCUUAAUCAGAGUGAAAGAUGAACUAAUCCUAAAGAAGAUCACAGUUUUUUUAAUCAGAAGUAGCUAGUUCCACAAUACUGAAGAAAACUUCACCUAGUAAGAGUUCAGUUCUCGGAGUAAACAGUUGAGAAUUUAACUCUUCCUUAUGACACUAUUUUCUCAUACAUUUCUCUAAGAAUUCACUCUAAGUUAACAAACAGUUUCUACUCUCUUUUCUUCAACGCUCUUCGACUAGCUAAUUCUUAACAAAAGAGACAGGCUUUGCCAUGUACUUGGGAUGAUCAUCUCCAGCCAUGAUUACAGCUAUACUUGGAGUAGUAUCAAAUUGCUCGCUUCCUUUGUUUUUGCUUGCUUUCUCUUUGUCGUUGUUGAUAGAAUUUCGCAUCCAUAUUUGGUGAGAGCAAGCAAGGAUAAAAAGAACGGCAGAAGUGAUUCCGAAAACAACAGCAAGGCCUCCAAAGAUAUAUGGGAUGGGAGAGUUCCAUUGCAAGAACUCUUUCCAUACAACUGUCAUCUCUCCCUUGCUUUGUUCUUAAAAAAUGGGAUUCACCUCAAUUUAUACCUAAGUAUCCAACUAAGCAAUAAAUUGAUACCGAUGCAAGAAGAAUAGAAUCUUAAACAUUGAUCAGAAUUUUGUUAGGUCUGAAGAGAAUUUUUAACAGAAACUAAAAUAUAUGAAAUACUAUAUUUUCACUUCUUAUUAACCUUGAAUUCAACAAAAUUCUUCAAAGUUUAAGCAAUUGAAAAGCAUAUCUAAAUUUGUUAAUAGCUAUUUUAAACGUAUAUUUACUAUUCAUCUGGAUGUCAAAGCGAAAACUAUCAAGAGUUAUAUGCAGUGGCUAAUAGUUUUCUGUCCGUGAAAAGUAGCAUCCAGAAGCUUUCCAAAGACACAGGGGCGGCUGGGAAAUGGAGAAUUAAUCUCUUAUUUGAUUCCUAUAUGUGCAGUAGUUUUGAAGAUUAGUCAAAUCUAUAUGAUAAAAAGAAAUCAUCCCCCCUUUCUAUAGAAUACAAAUUCUUUGCAACAUGCAAUCACUAGGCAAUGAACUAAAGCAAGACAGAAAGUAUAUUUUACCCACUUGAUCUUGUUGCAGAACAGUGAAUAUUCUGAGGAAUUGAUGCUUUCUUUCAUGUGUAAUAUUCGAGACAUGAAGCUUUUAAUCAAAGAUGUUCUCCUUGAAGAACGUUCCUCAA